rnacentral:rRNA from 1 species
UCUUAUGUACAUGCCUACAAUGUUAAUGCAUCAGAUCCCAUAAGAACUCCACAGUUAAGCACACUUGGGUUGGAGUAGUACUUGGAUGGAUGACCUCUUGGGAAUUCCUAGUAUUUUACAUGCC